UGGUCUGUAACUGACGCUGAUGUGCGAAAGCGUGGGGAUCAAACAGGAUUAGAUUCCCUGGUAGUCCACGCCGUAAACGAUGAGUGCUAAGUGUUAGGGGGUUUCCGCCCCUUAGUGCUGCAGCUAACGCAUUAAGCACUCCGCCUGGGGAGUACGACCGCAAGGUUGAAACUCAAAGGAAUUGACGGGGACCCGCACAAGCGGUGG
rnacentral:rRNA from 1 species